rnacentral:rRNA from 1 species
UACAGAGGGUGCAAGCGUUGUUCGGAAUUACUGGGCGUAAAGGGCGCGUAGGCGGCUUAGCAAGUCAGAUGUGAAAUCCCGGGGCUUAACUUCGGAAGUGCAUUUGAAACUGCUAGGCUAGAGUACAGUAGAGGUUGGUGGAAUACCCAGUGUAGAGGUGAAAUUCGUAGAUAUUGGGUGGAACACCGGUGGCGAAGGCGGCCAACUGGGCUGUAACUGACGCUGAGGCGCGAAAGCGUGGGGAGCAAACAGG